CCUACGGGAGGCAGCAGUGGGGAAUAUUGCACAAUGGGCGCAAGCCUGAUGCAGCGACGCCGCGUGAGGGAUGACGGCCUUCGGGUUGUAAACCUCUUUCAGCAGGGACGAAGCGCAAGUGACGGUACCUGCAGAAGAAGCACCGGCCAACUACGUGCCAGCAGCCGCGGUAAUACGUAGGGUGCAAGCGUUGUCCGGAAUUACUGGGCGUAAAGAGCUCGUAGGCGGUUUGUCGCGUCGUCUGUGAAAACCAGCAGCCCAACUGUUGGCUUGCAGGCGAUACGGGCAGACUUGAGUAUUUCAGGGGAGACUGGAAUUCCUGGUGUAGCGGUGAAAUGCGCAGAUAUCAGGAGGAACACCGGUGGCGAAGGCGGGUCUCUGGGAAAUAACUGACGCUGAGGAGCGAAAGCGUGGGUAGCGAACAGGAUUAGAUACCCUGGUAGUCCACGCCGUAAACGGUGGGCGCUAGGUGUGGGUUUCCUUCCACGGGAUCCGUGCCGUAGCUAACGCAUUAAGCGCCCCGCUGGGGNGACGCGCGAGACAACUACAANAGAGUAGACGCGNGAGACGNGCGAGCGACGACGAGGGAGAGG
rnacentral:rRNA from 1 species